rnacentral:lncRNA from 1 species
CACGUAUCUCUCCGACUCUGUUUCUUGUUGGAAAUCAGACCAAUAGAUGAUAUGUUGAGACUACUGCUCUCAGGGCAUUAAGUCCAGAUCGUCCGAGUAUGGCAUUAUAAGCCGAAGGAACUCGGACAAUCAUGAAUGUUAAGAGAACCGUACUCUGUCAUAGAUCUGUUCCGACAGUUAGUGGGAGAGUAAUUUUUUCUUACAUGGUAACUGCAUCUCCAGUGAAACCGACUAAUGGCGUUGAGACUCUCCUGAGUUGAUCAGUCGGUGGUUGCAUUCGAAAGAAAAUCGAGUAAAACAGAAUAUCUGUUGAGCUUC